AUUGAACGCUGGCGGCAGGCCUAACACAUGCAAGUCGAGCGGAUGAAGGGAGCUUGCUCCUGGAUUCAGCGGCGGACGGGUGAGUAAUGCCUAGGAAUCUGCCUGGUAGUGGGGGAUAACGUCCGGAAACGGGCGCUAAUACCGCAUACGUCCUGAGGGAGAAAGUGGGGGAUCUUCGGACCUCACGCUAUCAGAUGAGCCUAGGUCGGAUUAGCUAGUUGGUGGGGUAAAGGCCUACCAAGGCGACGAUCCGUAACUGGUCUGAGAGGAUGAUCAGUCACACUGGAACUGAGACACGGUCCAGACUCCUACGGGAGGCAGCAGUGGGGAAUAUUGGACAAAGGGCGAAAGCCUGAUCCAGCCAUGCCGCGUGUGUGAAGAAGGUCUUCGGAUUGUAAAGCACUUUAAGUUGGGAGGAAGGGCAGUAAGUUAAUACCUUGCUGUUUUGACGUUACCAACAGAAUAAGCGCCGGCUAACUUCGUG
rnacentral:rRNA from 1 species